UUGAGAAAUAAAGUUCAUGUUAUUAUUUUGCAGGAAUUCUAAGGGCCAUGAUAUGGCAAAAAAGUAUGUGAACAAACAAAAGAAACAUAGAAAGGGUCUGAUGCUGCUACUUCACAUGGCCAGAGGAAGAUGAUGGAUGAAUUUGGGAAGGUGAAGCAACAAUUGGUAGAGUACGUGAUCAUGUCACGGCCCAUAUCCCGCAAGCUUGGUCUCUAGCGAUUUGAAACCCUAACUCUUAAGUCUUGAGAUAAUUGACAUUUUUUUUUUCAUAACAGUUGGAGCAAGAUUAUUGUUGGCUUCUAGAAGAUUGUUGUCAUUGAGAACCUUCAUCAAUUUGGGGUGGGACAACAUUCCAUUCUGUUGCAAGAAGUGUACUAUAGUUAUAAGGAAAAAAAAACAUGUAAUUAAGGAACUAUUUGUGUGUCAGACAGACCAUGUAAUUAUUUAGUCCUCAUGGAAUGAAAUUGAGUUUAAUUUACUUGAGAAAUUUCAGUCUUGAAUAUGUUGUUUGUAUAUAUUUGCAAGUGUAUGCAAUGGAAAAAUACUUUUAUUUAUAUUAUUAAUUGAAGAGAGCACAUUAUAUACAUUAUGUGUAUAUAUAGCUCAUUCUUCUUGCCUUUGUAGGAUGGCAAUGGGUCAAAUCGGGGGUGGGUAUGCCAUUCCCAUCCCCAUCCCCGUGAAGCUUUUUUCCCCCAUCCCCACAUUCAUACCCACAAUACAGACUUGAAAAAAAAAAAAAGGAUAUACGAGGGCAAUAC